rnacentral:rRNA from 1 species
UACCAGCACCCCGAGUGGUCGGGACGUUUAUUGGGCCUAAAGCAUCCGUAGCCGGUUCUACAAGUCUUCCGUUAAAUCCAUCUGCUUAACAGAUGGGCUGCGGAAGAUACUAUAGAGCUAGGAGGCGGGAGAGGCAAGCGGUACUCGAUGGGUAGGGGUAAAAUCCGUUGAUCCAUUGAAGACCACCAGUGGCGAAGGCGGCUUGCUAGAACGCGCUCGACGGUGAGGGAUGAAAGCUGGGGGAGCAAACCGG